GCGGAUGUAGCCAAGUGGAUGAAGGCAGUGGACUGUGAAUCCACAAUGCGCAGAUUCAGUUCCCAUCAUUUGAC
rnacentral:tRNA from 1 species